AUAGAGUAUAACUUGUUUUUGUUAAAGUAUUGUAUUUUUCAUUAAUUAAAAUAUUUGUAUUAUUAUUAUUAUUGCAUUUCUACUUUGACGGUAAGCUGGUCCUGUUGUUGUGCGUGUGUUCGUUUCUAUGCCUGUAUAGGCAUCCAGCGGGGCUUGGUCCUACACAGGCUUGGUCCUACACAGGCUUGGUCCUACACAUGCUUGGUCCUACACAUGCUUGAUCCUACACAGGCUUGGUCCUACACAUGCUUGGUCCUACACAGGCCUGGUCCUACACAGGCUUGGUCCUACACAGGCUUGGUCCUACACAUGCUUGGUCCUACACAGGCUUGGUCCUACACAGGCUUGGUCCUACACAUGCUUGGUCCUACACAGGCCUGGUCCUACACAUGCUUGGUCCUACACAUGCUUGGUCCUACACAGGCUUGGUCCUACACAGGCUUGGUCCUACACAGGCCUGGUCCUACACAGGCCUGAUCCUACACAUGCUUGGUCCUACACAUGCUUGGUCCUACACAGGCUUGGUCCUACACAUGCUUGGUCCUACACAGGCUUGGUCCUACACAGGCCUGGUCCUACUUUAAAAGUAUAUAGUAGCCUACACUGCCAGAAAAGUACAUAGGUUGCUUGUACAGCUAGGGUCCUAAAGUGGCACAGACCCAAUUCACUCCAUAUAGGAUGGACACAUUUAAUAAAGCAGAAAAAGUAAAAAGCAUUACAUUCACAGGCUAUAGUAACCCAGUAAGAUCCAAUCGUGACAAUUCAAUAACACAGAUACACAACUUCCCAUUGCAAAGACAUUAUAGUAAAU
ensembl:lncRNA